rnacentral:tRNA from 1 species
UAUCUGGAAGCUUUGCUUUGAAGCACCGGAUUUUUAACCCGGAAAAGGAAUAAUCCCCAGAUUA